GGUUAAGCGACUAAGCGUACACGGUGGAUGCCUAGGCAAUCAGAGGCGAUGAAGGACGUGCUAAUCUGCGAAAAGCGUCGGUAAGGUGAUAUGAACCGCUAUAGCCGACGAUGUCCGAAUGGGGAAACCCAGUGCAAUUCGUUGCACUAUCGUUUGAUGAAUCCAUAGUCAAACGAGGCGAACCGAGGGAACUGAAACAUCUCAGUACCUCGAGGAAAAGAAAUCAACCGAGAUUCCCCUAGUAGCGGCGAGCGAACGGGGAGCAGCCCAGAGUCUUAAUCAGCAUCAGCAUCAGGAGAACGGUCUGGAAAGUCCGGCAGUAAAGGGUGAUAGCCCCGUAUCCGAAGGUGUUGGUGUUGUGAACUCGACGAGUAGGGCGGGACACGUGUUAUCCUGUCUGAAUAUGGGGGGACCAUCCUCCAAGGCUAAAUACUCCUGAUUGACCGAUAGUGAACCAGUACCGUGAGGGAAAGGCGAAAAGAACCCCGGCGAGGGGAGUGAAAUAGAACCUGAAACCGUGUACGUACAAGCAGUGGGAGCACCUUUUAGGUGUGACUGCGUACCUUUUGUAUAAUGGGUCAGCGACUUAUAUUCUGUAGCAAGGUUAACCGUAUAGGGGAGCCGUAGGGAAACCGAGUCUUAACUGGGCGAUUAAGUUGCAGGGUAUAGACCCGAAACCCGGUGAUCUAGCCAUGGGCAGGUUGAAGGUUGGGUAACACUAACUGGAGGACCGAACCGACUAAUGUUGAAAAAUUAGCGGAUGACUUGUGGCUGGGGGUGAAAGGCCAAUCAAACCGGGAGAUAGCUGGUUCUCCCCGAAAGCUAUUUAGGUAGCGCCUCGUGAACUCAUCUUCGGGGGUAGAGCACUGUUUCGGCUAGGGGGUCAUCCCGACUUACCAACCCGAUGCAAACUACGAAUACCGAAGAAUGUUAUCACGGGAGACACACGGCGGGUGCUAACGUUCGUCGUGAAGAGGGAAACAACCCAGACCGCCAGCUAAGGUCCCAAAGUCAUGGUUAAGUGGGAAACGAAGUGGGAAGGCUCAGACAGCCAGGAUGUUGGCUUAGAAGCAGCCAUCAUUUAAAGAAAGCGUAAUAGCUCACUGGUCGAGUCGGCCUGCGCGGAAGAUGUAACGGGGCUAAACCAUGCACCGAAGCUGCGGCAGCGACAUGUAAAUGUUGUUGGGUAGGGGAGCGUUCUGUAAGCCUGUGAAGGUGUGCUGCGAGGCAUGCUGGAGGUAUCAGAAGUGCGAAUGCUGACAUAAGUAACGAUAAUGCGGGUGAAAAACCCGCACGCCGGAAGACCAAGGGUUCCUGUCCAACGUUAAUCGGGGCAGGGUGAGUCGACCCCUAAGGCGAGGCAGAAAUGCGUAGUCGAUGGGAAACAGGUUAAUAUUCCUGUACUGGUGAUAAUUGCGAUGGGGGGACGGAGAAGGCUAGGCUGGCCGGGCGACGGUUGUCCCGGUUUAAGGAUGUAGGCAGGUGAAUUAGGCAAAUCCGGUUCACUACAUGCUGAGGUCUGAUGACGAGUCACUACGGUGGCGAAGUAGCUCAUGCCCCGCUUCCAGGAAAAGCCUCUAAGCUCUAGAUUAUCAUUAAUCGUACCCCAAACCGACACAGGUGGUCAGGUAGAGAAUACUCAGGCGCUUGAGAGAACUCGGGUGAAGGAACUAGGCAAAAUGGUGCCGUAACUUCGGGAGAAGGCACGCUGGCGCUAGGUGAAGUCCCUCGCGGAUGGAGCUGAAGCCAGUCGCAGAUACCAGCUGGCUGCAACUGUUUAUUAAAAACACAGCACUGUGCAAACACGAAAGUGGACGUAUACGGUGUGACGCCUGCCCGGUGCUGGAAGGUUAAUUGAUGGGGUUAUCCGUAAGGAGAAGCUCUUGAUCGAAGCCCCAGUAAACGGCGGCCGUAACUAUAACGGUCCUAAGGUAGCGAAAUUCCUUGUCGGGUAAGUUCCGACCUGCACGAAUGGCGUAAUGAUGGCCAGGCUGUCUCCACCCGAGACUCAGUGAAAUUGAACUCGCUGUGAAGAUGCAGUGUACCCGCGGCAAGACGGAAAGACCCCGUGAACCUUUACUAUAGCUUGACACUGAACAUUGAGCCUUGAUGUGUAGGAUAGGUGGGAGGCUUUGAAGUGUGGACGCCAGUCUGCAUGGAGCCAACCUUGAAAUACCACCCUUUAAUGUUUGAUGUUCUAACGUGGCCCCAUCAUCUGGGGUGCGGACAGUGUCUGGUGGGUAGUUUGACUGGGGCGGUCUCCUCCCAAAGAGUAACGGAGGAGCACGAAGGUUGGCUAAGCAUGGUCGGACAUCAUGCGGUUAGUGCAAAGGCAUAAGCCAGCUUGACUGCGAGAGUGACGGCUCGAGCAGGUACGAAAGUAGGUCUUAGUGAUCCGGUGGUUCUGAAUGGAAGGGCCAUCGCUCAACGGAUAAAAGGUACUCCGGGGAUAACAGGCUGAUACCGCCCAAGAGUUCAUAUCGACGGCGGUGUUUGGCACCUCGAUGUCGGCUCAUCACAUCCUGGGGCUGAAGUAGGUCCCAAGGGUAUGGCUGUUCGCCAUUUAAAGUGGUACGCGAGCUGGGUUUAGAACGUCGUGAGACAGUUCGGUCCCUAUCUGCCGUGGGCGUUGGAAGAUUGAAAGGGGCUGCUCCUAGUACGAGAGGACCGGAGUGGACGCACCACUGGUGUUCGGGUUGUCAUGCCAAUGGCACUGCCCGGUAGCUAAGUGCGGAAGAGAUAACCGCUGAAAGCAUCUAAGCGGGAAACUUGCCUUGAGAUGAGUCUUCCCUGACUCUUUAAGGGUCCUAAAGGAACGUUUAAGACUAAGACGUUGAUAGGCUGGGUGUGUAAGCGUAGCGAUACGUUGAGCUAACCAGUACUAAUGAACCGUGAGGCUUAACCUG
rnacentral:rRNA from 2 species